GAUGGAGGGAGGUGUCCUCAGAGCAGCCUAAGCAUGGACAGAGUGGAUUUGGAUAGUAGCACAUGAGACAACAGUGAAAGGAGCCGACUUUGCAUUAGGCAACUUACAAGACUGAAUUCUCUGAUCUGAAGCACAUGGCCACCCACCACUCACCCGGGAAUCAGCAGCAUUUCUGUAGGAAGUGACUCCCUGAGCCUCAACCUUCUCUGUGGAUCUGGGUCAAUGUGUAUACAUGACUUAAUCUGACUGGAUCGAUUGUCCCACUUUUUCUUUCUCUCUCCUGGUAUGCUUUACCACGGAAAGAUGCUUGAGGGAAAAAUUAAGGAAGAGUUUCUCUUCAGAUGUGGAGAAGCUCACCUGGGCCAUGGACUCUGGUUCUUCGGUGGGUUUUGAAGAGAUGUGUGGUGAAUGUGGCAACAAUUUGUCUCCAGAAACGAUCCAUGAUGAAGAGGAAGUCUGAAUACGUGCACUUUGAAAACUGUGUGACAUUAAAUUUUGAAGGAAGGUGUACUCAUCUGGUGCAACUGGCUUCUCCGUCUUCCUCUUUCCUACUCCACUUAGCCCAGUUGUUCUCAAAACACUUUAGUGGUUUUUUAAAAACACUGAAGCUGGGACUGGAGUGAUGGCUGGUCC